CAAAGAAGGGGGGCCUUUGGGCCUCUGCCAUCAGAUGCUGCCAGAUGGGAUUAGCUAGUAGGUGGGCUAAUCGCUCACUAGGCGACGACCCAUAGCCUGGUACGAGAGGAUGGCUAAGCACAUUGUAGAGAGGACGGGUACCAGACUUCUGCGGGAGGCAGCAGUGGGGAAUAUUGCACAAUGGGCGCAAGCCUGAUGCAGACAUUGCGCGUGUAUCAACAACGACUCCGGGUUGUAAAGUACGACAUCGGGAAGUAAGGCCGUUGUCGUUAGAU
rnacentral:rRNA from 1 species